rnacentral:rRNA from 1 species
GUAGUUAGCCGGGGCUUCCUCCUCAAGUACCGUCACUUCCUUCGCCCUUGAGGACAGAGAUUUACAAUCCGAAAACCUUCUUCUCUCACGCGGCGUUGCUGGGUAAGGGUUUCCCCCAUUGCCCAAUAUUCCCCACUGCUGCCUCCCGUAGGAGUCUGGACCGUGUCUCAGUUCCAGUGUGGCCGAUCAGCCUCUCAGCUCGGCUACCCAUCGUUGGCUAGGUGGGCCGUUACCCCGCCUACUACCUAAUGGGACGCGAACCCCUCCUUCUGCGGAUUGCUCCUUUGACCCCUGAGCCAUGCGACUCUGUGGUCUUAUGCGGUAUUAGCACUUGUUUCCAGGUGUUAUCCCCCUCAAAAGGGCAGGUUGUUCACGCGUUACUCACCCGUUCGCCACUAGCUAUAAAUCCGAAAACCUAUAGCCCGUUCGACUUGCAUGUGUUAGGCACGCCGCCACGCGUCGUCCUCGAGCACGAAUACAACUACUGA